CUCUUUGCAGCAUGUUAUGUCAGAACCCUUUGAGCCAUCACCUUUCAUGCCUCCUGUUACCAAGGGGUUCGAUAACGACUUUGAUACAACGACUAGCAGGCAACAAAGAAGCCAAGUUGCUGCCUUAGUUAGAUCAUCAACUAGUGUAAAAGAGGCUGGUUCAAAGGAGAGCAACCUGGUGAAGAUUAGAUAAAAGUUGUGGUAUGUUGCUUCCAUUCUUUACUACCAGCCACUCACAAUCUGAGACGUUUGUCCGCUAAGCAUGUUUGCAUGCCAGGUUCGAAAAAGGCCUUUGAACAAGGAGCUGUCUCGAAAGGAAGAGGAUAUUGUAACCAUCUAUGAUAAUGCAUACUUAACUGUUCAUGAGCCAAAGCUAAAGGAAUUGAAGUUUUAAACCAAGAAAAGGUUUGAUUUUUAGAUUGAAUGUGUCAGAGCUUGUGGUUUAUUUAUUUAUUUUUCUUUCUAAGGUUUGGGUCUAAUAUUGGAAUCAAUGUUUUUUUUUUUUUCUCCAAUUGUUUUAUUAAAAAUGAGAUUGAUAAACAAUUGAUGGAGUUCGGAUCUUUGAGUGCUAGUGGAAUUGCAAAUGCAUCCAAUUCUGUGACUAACAGAUCUAAAUAGGAUGGAGGCCAUGUUUUGAUAAUCUGUUAUAAGGCCAGGAUGGUGCUGACUACCAUAUGUACAUUUUUAGAGAUGAAUAUGGUGAUAAUGUCUAGAUUAUAAUUGGAGAUGACUUGAUACAUGCGGAUGCACGCUGUUGUGUCGGAAGGUCGAAGUGGCUUGCCUAUGCUAUCUUCGGCUUUGUGAGUUGAAGAGAUCUAUUGUUUCUAGCAGCAAGGCUGAAAUUUUGGUAUACAAAUCGCAGUCUGGUAUAAUCCUCUGUUUUUAUGCUGGAGCCCUGAUAAAUAUGCCUGCUUUAUAGGUUUCCUUUUUGCUUGCAUUACUCCUAUCCUUAUUGCAUGGAUAUAUUCAGAGAUUCUGGAGUAUAAUAGAUCUUCAUCUCCUCCCAAAGUUGUCCAUGGCCAAUAGAAGAUCAUGAGCUCAAGGUGAAGGACUCUAAGACGCUUCUUUUUGGUGAGAAACCAGUUACUAUCUUCAGUGUUAGCCAUGUGCAGUAAGCUUUCGGAUCAAAGCGAAGCUGAGGAUAGGGUGUUAGUUGAUGGAAAAUUAAUAACCAGUAGAGGCACAUCCAUGGAGUUCUCGCUUGCGAUUGUCAAUAAGCUAUUUGGCUGCGAGAAGGCAUUGUAUCUUGCUAUCAAUGAGAACUUUAAAUAGACAUAUAACUAUUAUGUUGGUAUUGUACUUUUGUAAACGGAUUAAAAUGAAUGAAU